rnacentral:rRNA from 1 species
UAAAAGGUGAUUAAUUAUUUAAUUUUCUCGAUUUCUUAGGAGUUAAGUUAAUUAUUUUUUUAAUGUGAAAAAAUUAUUAUUAAAAUUAACUUUGAAGUGAAACGUUAUUCGUUUAAGAAGGUAUCUAGUUUUCUAAGAAAUGAAUUCAAUUCAGCUAUUUAUUAUAUUUCUAUAUUUGUGUAUGGGGUUAAAUAAUUAAGUAACAUUUAGGGGGAUGAGCUUUUAGAUGGAUUGGUAUAAGGUAAUUGUUAGAAGUAGAAUAAUAGAAUUAGAAGUUUUUAUUUAUAAUAGUGUGUUAUUAUAAUUUUACUUUAAUUAAAUAUUUAUAUUACUUUUAUUUAUCUAUUAGGAUAAUAGGUUGACUUAUAAAAUUUAUAUAAUAAUGAUAAAAUUAGUAUAUAGAAUUGUGGAUUUAUUAAAUUGUUAGGUUUUAUGAAGGAACUCGGCAAAUAGGUAUUCCGCCUGUUUAUUAAAAACAUGUCCUUUAGAUUUUAAUUUAAGGUCUGGCCUGCCCAAUGUAGUAUCAAUGGCCGCGGUAUUUUGACCGUGCAAAGGUAGCAUAAUAAUUAGUUUCUUAAUUGGGAUCUAGAAUGAAUGGUUGGACGAGAUUACAGCUGUCUCCAUAAAAUUUUAUUAGAAUUUUACUUUUAAGUUAAAAGGCUUAAAUGAUUUUAAAAGACGAGAAGACCCUAUAGAGUUUUACACUAAAAUAAAUAUAUUUAGUAAGGAGUUAUUUAAUUUAUUUAUAAAGGUGUUUUAUUGGGGUGAUAGUAAAACUGAAUAAACUUUUAUUUAUUUUUUAUACUAAUUAGUAGUUUAUUGAUCCAUUAUUUAUGAUUAAAAGAUUAAAUUACCUUAGGGAUAACAGCGUAAUUUUCUUUGAGAGUUCUAAUCGAAAGGAGAGAUUGCGACCUCGAUGUUGGAUUAAAAUUAAGUUCUGGCGCAGUAGCUAGUAAUUUAGGUCUGUUCGACCUUUAAAAUUUU